GUCAUCUAUGCCCCCCUCCCUCUGCAGUGGAUUUAUGUCCCCGCCCAGGGGGGCCCGUCGCCAAGUUUGAGAACCACUGGUCAAAGACAUGGCCAAAUUUCAUUAAGUCUAAUCCGCUCAGUAAUGUGAUGACAGGAAAUAACGGAUGAGAGAGAUGGGGAACUACAUGUACUGCACCUUAUUGAAGCGUUGAGUCAGACAACUUGGGGAUAAGUGUGAAUUUUUAGUUCACGCUGAAAUGAGUUUGUGUCUUUCCACUGACUUUGUAUACAUUCCACCUCUAAAAUGUACUUUGCAUUCAGUCUAAACACCCCUUAACACAAGCAGGAGCUGAGGCGUUUAUUGCAGUUGGUUGUAUAAUAAAGACAAAAAACACCUUG